rnacentral:rRNA from 1 species
GAUCUCCUACGGGAGGCAGCAGUGAGGAAUAUUGGUCAAUGGUCGGGAGACUGAACCAGCCAAGCCGCGUGAGGGAGGAAGGUACAGAGUAUCGUAAACCCCUCUUGUCAGGGAACAAAGGCGGGGACGUGUCCCCGGAUGAGUGUACCUGAAGAAAAAGCAUCGGCUAACUCCGUGCCAGCAGCCGCGGUAAUACGGAGGAUGCAAGCGUUAUCCGGAUUUAUUGGGUUUAAAGGGUGCGCAGGCGGUCUGUUAAGUCAGCGGUCAAAGCCCGGGGCUCAACCCCGGCCCGGCGUUGAAACUGG